CCGGUUGAUCCUGCCGGACCUGACUGCUAUCGGAUUGGUACUAAGCCAUGCGAGUCGUUGUAGCAAUACAAGGCGGACUGCUCAGUAACACGUAGUUAACUUAACCUAUGGAUGGGCAUAACCUCGGGAAACUGAGAAUAAUACCCAAUGGACCACAGCGCCUGGAAUGGCCUGUGGUUGAAAUGAUUUAUCGCCGUAGGAUAGGACUGCGGCCUAUCUGCUUGUUGGUGAGGUAAUGGCCCACCAAGGCUAUAACAGGUACGGGCUCUGAGAGGAGGGGCCCGGAGAUGGGUACUGAGACACGGACCCAGGCCCUAUGGGGCGCAGCAGGCGAGAAACCUUUGCAAUGUGCGAAAGCACGACAAGGUUAAUCCGAGUGUCUCCUGCUAAAGGAGUCUUUUGUCAGUUGUAGAAUCACUGGUGAAUAAGGGGUGGGCAAGUUCUGGUGUCAGCCGCCGCGGUAAAACCAGCACCUCGAGUGGUCAGGAGGUUUAUUGGGCCUAAAGCAUCCGUAGCCGGUCGCAUAAGUUUUCGGUUAAAUCUAUGCGCUUAACGUAUAGGCCGCC
rnacentral:rRNA from 1 species